rnacentral:rRNA from 1 species
AAGAAUUUAAUGGUCGAACAGACCAAGAAAAAUGAAAUUUUACCCCCAAAUCUAAUCUUAAUUCAACAUCGAGGUCGCAAACUUAUUCAUCGAUAAGAACUCUCCGAAAAAAUUACGCUGUUAUCCCUAAGGUAAGUUAUUCUUAUAAUCAAAAAUUCCGGAUCAAAAAAACAUAAAUUAAUGAAAUAAAAAUUAAAAGUUAAAUAAAUUUUAAUAUCACCCCAACAAAACUUCACAUUCUAAAAAUAAAUUUAAAAAACAAAAAAUAUAAAUUUAUAAAUAAAGUUAACUUCUAUAGGGUCUUCUCGUCCUAUAAAAAAAUUUUAGCUUUUUAACUAAAAAAUUAAAUUCAAAAUAAUUAAAUAAAGAAAGUAUAUUUUUCAUCAAACCAUUCAUUCUAGCCUCCAAUUAAAAGACAAAUGAUUAUGCUACCUUCGUACAGUUAAAAUACCGCAGCCUUUUAAUUCCAAAAAUCAAUGGGCAGGCCCGAUCUUAAAUUAAAAACAAAAGAAC